UACAGACGGUCCAAACGUUAUUCGGAAUCACUGGGCUUAAAGAGUUCGUAGGCGGUCAGGAAAGUGGGGUGUGAAAGCCCUCGGCUUAACCGAGGAAUUGCGCUCCAAACUCCCUGACUUGAGGAGGCUAGAGGUAAGCGGAACUGAUGGUGGAGCGGUGAAAUGCGUUGAUAUCACAGGAACACCGGAGGCGAAGGCGGCUUACUGGGGCCUUUCUGACGCUGAGGAACGAAAGCUAGGGGAGCGAACGGGAGU
rnacentral:rRNA from 1 species